rnacentral:tRNA from 1 species
GCGGGGGUGGCGGAAUGGCAGACGCGCCAGGCUCAGGACCUGGUGGGGUAACUCCCGUAGGGGUUCAAGUCCCCUCUCCCGCACCA